CUACUCUAUGGUGUUCAGCACAUAAGCUUUUGAGCCUUAAGGAAGUUCCACCUUAAU
rnacentral:tRNA from 1 species